rnacentral:rRNA from 1 species
CCUACGGGAGGCAGCAGUGGGGGAUAUUGCACAAUGGGGGAAACCCUGAUGCAGCGACGCCGCGUGAGUGAAGAAGUAUUUCGGUAUGUAAAGCUCUAUCAGCAGGGAAGAAAAUGACAGUACCUGACCAAGAAGCCCCGGCUAACUACGUGCCAGCAGCCGCGGUAAUACGUAGGGGGCAAGCGUUAUCCGGAUUUACUGGGUGUAAAGGGAGCGUAGACGGCUAUGGAAGUCUGGAGUGAAAGCCCGGGGCCCAACCCCGGGACUGCUUUGGAAACUGUGUAGCUGGAGUGCAGGAGGGGCAGGCGGAAUUCCUGGUGUAGCGGUGAAAUGCGUAGAUAUCAGGAGGAACACCGGCGGCGAAGGCGGCCUGCUGGACUGAAACUGACGUUGAGGCUCGAAAGCGUGGGGAGCAAACAGGAUUAGAUACCCUGGUAGUC